ensembl:lncRNA
AUUCUUCUGCUCAUUUAUCCUGUUAUUGAUUCCUUCCAAUAUAAUUUUCAUUUCAGUUAUUGUAUUUGUUCUUUAAAUCUUCUAGCCCUUCAUUAAACAUUUCUUGUGUCCUCUUAGUCUGUGCCUCCCUUCUUUUUCCGAGAUCUUGGGUUAUCUUUACUGUCAAUACUCUGAAUUCUUUUUCAGGUAGAUUGCCUGUUUCCACUUCACUUAGAGUUCUUCUGGGGUUUUAUCUUGUUCCUUCAUCUAGAACAUAUUUCUCUACUGUGUCAUUUUGCCUAACUUUCUGUGUUUGUGGUCUCCAUUCUUCAUGCUACAGAAUUGUCAUUCUUUUUAGUUGUGGAGUCUGCCCUCUAAUGGGUGAAUUUGGUCCAGGGGCUUGUGCGAGCUUCCUGGUGGGAGGGACUGGUGCCUGUCCACUGGUGGGUGGAACAGGGUCUUGUCACUCUGAUGGGCAGGGCCAUGUUAAGGGGUGUGUUUAUUGGCAGCUGUUGGCUCAGGAUGACUUCAGGCAGCCUGUCUGCUGAUGGGUGGGGCUGUGUUCCAGCCUUGUUGGUUGUUUAGCCUGAGGUGUCCCAGCAUUGGAGCCUGCAGGCUGUUGGGUGGGACCAGAUCUCAGUGCCAAAAUGGCAACCUCCAGGAGAGUUCAUGCAGAUGAGCAUUCCCUGGCACAUCUGCCACCAGUGUCCUUGCCUCCGCAGAAAACCACAGCUGACUGCUGCCUCCUCAGGAGACUCACAACCUGGAACCAAACCCACCAUAUCUCCAAAGUAUGCCUGUAACAACAGUAAAAUGAGAAGAUGAGAACAUGC